AAUAUAAGCCACAAUUUGGAAAAGGAAAGCAUGAGAAGCACACUACAGAGACUGAUCUAGAGAAGUUAUCACUGUGCUGGGUGGGAGUCAUUCAUCUGUCUGCUCUGGGAGUUACAGAUUCACAUGAAGUCCCAGGAUAGCUUCUGUCGGCUUUGGUGGCCUGUUGCAGCAGCCAGCAGCAGGAAACUUGAGGAGCUAUCAUCUCAGGAAUGAACGGGGCCACAUCAAUAAGGUAAAACUAAGGUCACUCAAGUCCUAGACCCUCAUUUUGCCUUAUUUUUCUCCCAAGGGAUUUUUAAAAUACCAUAAAAAUUGAACCAUCAAAAAAUCACGAAAUAAACAUGUUUGUAGUAAUCAUUAAUACCAUUCCCUAGACACUAAAUAAAAUCCCACAUACAUUAAUCAAAGAAAAUACUUUUUUCAUUAGAAUUCUAAGACGACACUUUCAUCAACUUUCCUAAAAUCUAAAAUUUAAUCAUCCUUAUUAUUGACUUUUCACUAACUUGUUUCCUACACUGAUUUAUAAUUAUUUAUUCCAUAUUCUAUUAUGCUCACUAGAUGCAGACAUUCACUGCAUCCUAUUAAUUCCGACAUUGAAUCUAUCUUUAAAGGUAUUGUUACUCUUAUUAUUGGAAUGGUCGAAAAAAAGCAAAAAAAAAAA
ensembl:lncRNA novel transcript